rnacentral:rRNA from 1 species
CACGUAGGCGGUCUAUUAAGCUUGAUGUGAAAGCCCUCGGCCCAACCGGGGAACUGCAUUGAAUACUGGUAGACUCGAGGAUAGGAGGGGUGAGUGGAACUCCUGGUGGAACGGUGAAAUGUGUAGAUAUCAGGAGGAACACCGGUGGCGAAAGCGGCUCACUGGCCUAUCUCUGACGCUGAGGUGCGAAAGCUAGGGGAGCGAACAGGAUUAGAUACCCUGGUAGUCC